CCCAAGGAAGAGCUUUGUAACAAACACAGCUGCCCAGUUAGUGCUCAGCUGUUCCGUGUGCCGGACCAGGGGUGAACACUUUGCACUUACUGCCUCAUUUGACUCAGCCCAACCCUGCAUAGUGGGGUCCUCUGUGACUCUCAGCUUGUAAGCAGGAAGCUGGUAUGUAUAUGCUUGGGUGAUUGUUCCAGGCCCACAUGGGCAGUGAACAGCCAGGUUGGGGACCACACACCCCUGCAGAGCAGCCUCACUGCAGCGGCGCCCCUGGCUUCCGCCCUGUGGACACUGGCAGCCUUUGCUGACCUGCAGCCUGAGACAGCUGGCUCCAGCAGGCCUGGUCGCGGGUGCAGCUGCAGCUCCUGAAUCGCUUCUCUGUGGUCACCUGCUCAGCGCCCUCCUGCAUCCCCAGGCGGCUCUGACCUAAGUGGCCUCAGGCACAAGUGGGCUCACAAACAGGACUCAGAGACAGCAGGAUGGAAAAGCCUUUCACGGAGGAGCCCCUGACGGCCACCUGCUCAUGAGCAUCUCCAUCUGGUCUCCUCUCACAGGGCAGAAGGGGGAAGUCUGUGUGAGCAACAGGAAGUGAGAAACCGGAACCGGAAGUAGACCUCGAUGGACGAGUUGACGGGACCAUCCCAGUACAGGACUGGGAAGUGAGGUCCUGCCGGGCCUCCCUGUGGCCGGACAUCAUGCUGCUGCCUCCAGCCCAGCUACUCCCAGGCCAGGGGUGGGCAUGGGGUGGGCAGCAGCUGCCAGAGCCCACCGGCGGAGUGGGAAGGAAGCCUGCCUCUUCCUGCCUCUGGGCAACAGGGGAAAACUGGAAUGCUAAUUCGGAAAUUUGCUGAGUCUUGACAGAUACAAAAUCUAUGAAAGCCUGUAUUUAAAAUUAUGUUUCCGAUCAUUCCAUUUUCCCUGCUUGGUUAUUCAGCAAGUUGAAUAGAUGAUUAUGAAUCAUUCCCAAGUGUGGCUAAUUAAAUAUUUGAUAAAUAGAGUUUAGCACUUUUCAUCUGCAGAGAGCUUGCCUGACAUUAACUAAUUGAGCCGAACAAAGGCAUCACCUUCGUUCUGCAAAUGGCAAGGCUGGCAAGGAGAAGACGGUGAAGAAAGCCCCCUCGGCCCCCGUAAACAUAGAUCUGUGUGCACAGGCGCGCGGAGUCUCGGGGCAGGAGGGGCCGUGGUCCGGAGUUUGAUUCGCGAGUGCAAUUCCCGGGUUGCUCCUGCACGGCCUGGCCCUGGCCCUGGCCCUGGCCCUGCCUCUGGCUCUGGAGCCCGCCUGGCGUCAGCGGCUGGGCCACAGCGCCACCUGCUGGCCCUUGGCCUAAGCGCCGCUGAGCAGGGCGCUUCCCGCACCGGCCCCUCGAGGGCUGCAGCUGCUGCUGUUUCGGAACUGCUGCAAGUCUGCGAGAAGGCCAUUUCCAUGUUAGCAGCAGAUACUGCACGCUAACCUGUCACCUCCAGGUCGAAAUUAGCGCCGCGGGAGAGACUGAGGACUUGACUGGGUCUCCCUGGGAAGGGGCGUCACCGGCAGCACAGGACGCGGAAGGAUUUGGACUCCAGCGGGGCAGGGUGCGCGAGCGGGCUGCGCGGGGUGGCGGCCUGGCUGCGGAGCAGGAGCU